GAAGUUGGAUUCGCUAGUAAUCGCGCAUCAGCCAUGGCGCGGUGAAUACGUUCCCGGGCCUUGUACACACCGCCCGUCAAGCCAUGGGAGCUGGGGGUGCCUGAAGUUCGUGACCGCAAGGAUCGACCUAGGGCAAAACCGGUGACUGGGGCUAAGUCGUAACAAGGUACC
rnacentral:rRNA from 1 species